rnacentral:rRNA from 1 species
UACGAAGGGUGCAAACGUUGCUCGGAAUUAUUGGGCGUAAAGCGCACGUAGGCGGCUUUGCAAGUCCCAUGUGAAAGCCCACGGCUUAACCGUGGAAGUGCAUGGGAAACUGCAGAGCUUGAGUACUUAAGAGGAUCGCGGAAUUCCCGGUGUAGAGGUGAAAUUCGUAGAUAUCGGGAGGAACACCAGUGGCGAAGGCGGCGAUCUGGGAAGAUACUGACGCUGAGGUGCGAAAGCGUGGGGAGCGAACAGG